rnacentral:rRNA from 1 species
UACGUAGGUGGCAAGCGUUGUCCGGAUUUACUGGGCGUAAAGAGCGCGCAGGCGGUCGGAUCAGUCGAAUGUGAAAGCCCCCGGCUCAACUGGGGAGGGUCAUUCGAUACUGUCCGACUCGAAGGCAGGAGAGGGAAGCGGAAUUCCCGGUGUAGUGGUGAAAUGCGUAGAUAUCGGGAGGAACACCAGUGGCGAAGGCGGCUUUCUGGCCUGUUCUUGACGCUGAGGCGGCGAAAGCUAGGGGAGCGAACGGG